rnacentral:rRNA from 1 species
UAGGGAAUAUUAGAAAUGGACGAAAGUCUGAUCUAGCAACACCGCGUGUGCGAAGAAGGCCUUCGGGUUGUAAAGCACUUUUUGGAAGGAUUAGGAAGGAAUGUACUUCCAGAAUAAGUCUCGGCUAACUACGUGCCAGCAGCCGCGGUAACACGUAGGAGGCAAACGUUAUCCGGAUUUACUGGGCGUAAAGCGCGUGUAGGUGGUACUGUAAGUAGGGCGUGAAAGCUCCUGGCUCAACUGGGAGAGGCCGUUCUAAACUACAGAACUAGAGGAUGGUAGAGGGAGGUGGAAUUCCAGGUGUAGCGGUGGAAUGCGCAGAUAUCUGGAGGAACACCGGUGGCGAAGGCGGCCUCCUGGACCAUUCCUGACACUCAGACGCGAAAGCUAGGGUAGCAAACG